UACAGAGGGUGCAAACGUCGCUCGGAAUCAUUGGGCGUAAAGCGCACGUAGGCGGCCUAGCAAGUAGGGAGUGAAAGCCCUCGGCUUAACCGAGGAAGUGCUUUCUAAACUACUAGGCUUGAAUACUGGAGAGGGUCGCGGAAUUCCCGGUGUAGAGGUGAAAUGCGUAGAUAUCUGGAGGAACACCGGUGGCGAAGGCGGCGUUCUGGACUGCAACUGACACUGAAAAACGAAAGCCAGGGGAGCAAACGGG
rnacentral:rRNA from 1 species